ensembl:lncRNA
CAAGCAUCUCGUUCAGACCCCAUUAAAAGAGAGCUCAGUUCUUACAGCAGUUUGACAAGUCUGAUAAAGAGAAAGAAAACCAAAUUACUAGGACUUGAAAUAUAAAGUAGAUGAACCAAUCUAGAGAUGCUGCAUGAAAGAAGGUGGAUUUUUUUCUGGACAAGGAAUGACUUGAGAGCAGCCCUGAGGAGAAGGAUUUGGGGGUGCUGGUUAAUGAAAGACUGAACAUGAGCUGGCUAUAUGCACUUGCAGCCCAGAAGGCCAACUGUGUGCUGGGUUACAUUAUGAAAAGAAUGAAAGAAAAGCAAGGAAGAUGAUUCUGCCCCUCUACUCUGCUCUUGUGAGACCCACCUGGAGUACUGCAUCCAAUUCUGGGGCCCUCAACACAAGACAGACAUGGAGCUGUUGGAGUGGGUCCAGAGGAGGGCCACAAAGAUGAUCAGAGGGCUGGGACACUUCCCCUACGAAGAGAGGCUGAGAAAGUUGGGACUCUUCAGCCUGCAGAAGAGAAGGUUUGGGAGACCUUACAGCGGCCCUUCCAGUAUCUGAAGGGGGCAUACAGGAAAGCUGGGGAGGGACUUCUUAUAAGGGCAAGUAGAGACAGGAUGGGGGGAAAUGUCUUUAAACUGGAAGAGGGUAGAUUUAGACUAGAUAUUAGGAAGAAGUUAUUUACGGUGAGGGUGGUGAGACACUGAAACAGGUUGACCAGCAAGGCUUUGGUUCCCCCCCUCCCUGGAAGCCUUUGAGGCCAGGCUGGAUGAGGCUUUGAGCAACCUGGUCUAGUGAAAGGUGUCCCUGCCUACAGCAGGGGCUUGGAGCUAGGUGAUCUUAAAGGUCUCUCCCAGUCCAAACCAUUCUAUGAUUCUUUGAUAGUCACUUCAGCAGUUGAAAAAGAAAUUUUUUGGUUUAAGUCCACCAUCUUUCCACCAGGCCUACUGCUAUCCAUGUCAGUAUUUUUUUCCCCACUUAUGAAUGAAUUUCUCCUUUUACAUGUAAAUAAGAGACUGACCUAUACAGAGUAGGUAAAUCAAGAAGCGUAUUAAGAUGUUCCACCUGUCCCAAAAUACUCCGGCAUGCUACACAUGAGCUGAUACUCACUUUCAACUUUAAAGUUGCUGAGACUGGAUAGUGUCCCCCAGAUAUUUUCUAAUAGGAUCCAACGUUUUGCAACAUGCCCAUCUAGAGACCUGAUCUAUCAGGAAAUGAGAUCUGAACACCUAUGUGGCUUUUGUUCAGCACAAGACGGAGCACAAGAGUCAGGAUAUUCUCACUGCCUAAAGCCAGAAAGGAAGCAAGUCGCCUUGUACAACUCCUGGCUGUAUUUUCCAAUUUUCAUUCUUCCCUUCCAUUCAGCUGCCCCAUCAGGUUUGCAUCAGAGCUGGCACGCAUCUGAACUCCCGCCUGGCCCAGCCUUUGUCAUUAUGCCCUUCAAUGCACAAAGUUUGGUGCGUUUUCCACUCUUCAGUAGGAGGUGCAAGGGCUGGAAAAACUGGCAGUAGAGCACAUAUGCUCCUUUUAUCCCAGCACUUUCCCUUGUGACUGCAUUUACUCUCUCACACGGACUCAGGAUGUUAACUAAACUGACAAGGACUAGAUAGCAGAGAGAGGAAGGAAGGAAGGAAAGCAUCUGCAUUUCCAAUCCAGUGACUGCAAAUAAAGUUCCUCAACUUUUAGAAGUCUCUCAAGCACAGCAUACACAGGGUUUGGAGAAGCCAGGGGCUUCUGAUGAAAGUGCUGUGCUGUUAUUUUCAGUGCCACAGCCAGGCUGGGAUUACGUUUUGGUCUUCUGAGAAAAGGAAGCUGGUUGUCACGUCUACUUCUGCUCUUUUUUAAAACUCUCAAAGAAACUUUGCAACAUAAAAUCACUGAGCACCUACAAAGAAAGCUUUACAAAGGGACACCACUUACUGCCUCAAACUCAGUUUCCAUCACCUCCUGCACAAUUCAUCCAUGCUACACAAAGUCCUAAACAGCACACAUCCUAUCUUUCCCAGUGCAAACAGAUACAUUUUUUUUUUAACUGUAAAGCCAGGCUUUUUGUUUAACACAGUGAAAAAUCACACAUAGCAGGAGCCUGCUGUUAGCAUAACUUACGGUAAUGAAUCAGUUAGCAAGGAGACUGGUGAAAAGAUUGAUUCAUGACAUGAAAAGGGUAACUGGAUCCUUUCUUUUGCCUCCUUAAUUUGCCAACAUACCUGCCCUUACCAGCACCUUUUGAAGCUGUUGCCACAGCACUACUCUUCCUUCUUGGGCUUCAGCAGUGGGUUGAACACAUCAUCUCUUUGCAGACUGCUGAAGAGCUGCAUCACAAGUGAGACUGGAGGUUGGUUGGAAGUCCCUUGAAAUCCAAGCACUUGUGCUCAGGAAGAAUUCACUCCACAUUUCUUCCUUCUUGCUGAAGGCUGGAUGUGCAAAUCCAUCUUAUUUUCACUUGACUCACACUGUGAAGACACAUACUGUGAUGUGGGGUGAUAUUAGCUGUAGAAAAGAAAAAGCUUUAAGACCACUGGGCCUCAAAAUGUGUCAAAACACACCAGGCAUGAGAAUCUGCCAUUUCUCUAUGGGAGGAGGCUGAUCUCCCCACAAAGGGCCAAGCAAGCUGUGCUCCAAGGACCUGCUCUCAUCCACUCAUCCAAACCCACACAGGGGAGCACAGCCAGGAAGAGCCACAGGACCUGCCAUCUCCUGUGCUGCCACCCAGCUCUCUUCCCUCUUGGGGGCUCAGAGCCUGAGCCAAGAGCUCGCACACUUGACACGACCCAGCCCCCGGACGGAGCUGAGCUGCUGCCCAGAUGGGAGGUCAGGCUUCUACAUGCUCUUCUUUUUUGCUGCACAUACAGUGCAGCAAAAUGCUUCAGACUCAGCUGUGGGUGCAGAGGAAGAAAACUAGUAUCUCGCACUUUGAAUACUUUCUUCUUCAUAAAAAAUAAAAUAAUAAAAAAAAAAGAAUAAGAAAAAAAA